UAAUACCUUAAUCAUUUGACGUUACCUACAGAAGAAGCACCGGCUAACUCCGUGCCAGCAGCCGCGGUAAUACGGAGGGUGCAAGCGUUAAUCGGAAUUACUGGGCGUAAAGCGCAUGCAGGGGGUUUGUUAAGUCAGAUGUGAAAGCCCUGGGCUCAACCUAGGAAUCGCAUUUGAAACUGACAAGCUAGAGUACUGUAGAGGGGGGUAGAAUUUCAGGUGUAGCGGUGAAAUGCGUAGAGAUCUGAAG
rnacentral:rRNA from 1 species